rnacentral:rRNA from 1 species
GACAGAGGGGGCAAGCGUUGCUCGGAAUUACUGGGCGUAAAGGGUGCGUAGGCGGGAUGGCAAGUCGGUCGUGAAAUCCCUCGGCUCAACCGAGGAACGUCGAUCGAUACUGCUGUUCUUGAGGAUUGCAGAGGAGACUGGAAUUCCCGGUGUAGCGGUGAAAUGCGUAGAUAUCUGGAGGAACACCGGUGGCGAAGGCGGCAUCCUGGACCAACACUGACGCUGAGGAGCGAAAGCCAGGGGAGCAAACGGG